AGGCUGGGGUGCAGUGACAUGAUCUUGGGUCACUAUAGCCUCUGCCCUCUGGGUUCAAGUGAUUCUCCUGCCUCAGCCUCACAAGUAGCUGGGAUUACAAGCAUGUGCGACCAC